rnacentral:rRNA from 1 species
GACGAACGCUGGCGGCGUGCUUAACACAUGCAAGUCGAGCGGUAAGGCCCUUUCGGGGGUACACGAGCGGCGAACGGGUGAGUAACACGUGGGUGACCUGCCCUCAGCUCUGGGAUAAGCCUGGGAAACCGGGUCUAAUACUGGAUAUGACUCCAUGACGCAUGUUGUGGGGUGGAAAGCCUUGUGCGGCUGAGGAUGGGCCCGCGGCCUAUCAGCUUGUUGGUGGGGUGANGGCCUACCAAGGCGACGACGGGUAGCCGGCCUGAGAGGGCGACCGGCCACACUGGGACUGAGACACGGCCCGGACUCCUACGGGAGGCAGCAGUGGGGAAUCUUGCGCAAUGGGCGAAAGCCUGACGCAGCGACGCCGCGUGAGGGAUGACGGCCUGGU